rnacentral:SRP_RNA from 1 species
CUGCACCGCUCCUGUCAGCCGCUCUG